rnacentral:snoRNA from 1 species
UUAAGUGAUGAUCCAAAUUAUAGGAAUUGCCGUCGGAUCGAUAUCUGAAGAAAUACUUGUUCUGAAU